rnacentral:rRNA from 1 species
GAUGAACGCUGCUGCGUGCCCAAUACUUCCAUGCUUAGCCAACAGACUAGGAUCCUUCUCCUCUUACGUUUCCCUGGGACCGUUGAAUUACACCUGGAUUACCUACCCAUUAGACUGGGAUUAAUUCUGGAAACCCGAACUAAUACCCGAUAAAUCAUUUAACCUCCUUGUUUAAUUCUUCAACUCCGUUUUUCCGUUCCUUUUACCUUGAUCCGCGUCCGCUUAGCUUGUUGGUAAGGUAACGGCCUACCAAGGCAACGAUGUGUAGCCGACCUGAGAGGGUGAUCGGCCACACUGGAACUAAGACACGGUCCAGACUCCUACGGGAGGCAGAAGUAGGGAAUCUUCCGAAAUGGGCGAAAGCUUGACGGAGCAACGCCGCGUGAGUGAUGAAGGUCUUCGGAUCGUAAAACUCUGUUAUUAGGGAAGAACAAAUGUGUAAGUAACUAUGCACGUCUUGACGGUACCUAAUCAGAAAGCCACGGCUAACUACGUG